GGCUUCAUGGCUCAGUUGGCUAGAGCGUUGGCUGUACUAAAGCCUUCCCCUUGCUGGCAUGGGUUCGAAUCCCACCGAGGCCG
rnacentral:tRNA from 1 species